CCUACGGGAGGCAGCAGUGAGGAAUAUUGGUCAAUGGACGAGAGUCUGAACCAGCCAAGUAGCGUGAAGGAUGACUUCCCUAUGGGUUGUAAACUUCUUUUAUAUGGGAAUAAAAUGUUCCACGUGUGGGCUUUUGUAUGUACCUUAUGAAUAAGGAUCGGCUAACUCCGUGCCAGCAGCCGCGGUAAUAAGGAGGAUCCGAGCGUUAUCCGGAUUUAUUGGGGUUAAAGGGAGCGUAGGUGGAUUGUUAAGUCAGUUGUGAAAGUUUGCGGCUCAACCGUAAAAUUGCAGUUGAAACUGGCAGUCUUGAGUACAGUAGAGGUAGGCGGAAUUCGUGGUGUAGCGGUGAAAUGCUUAGAGAUCACGAAGAACUCCGAUUGCGAAGGCAGCUCACUGGACUGCAACUGACACUGAGGCUCGAAAGUGUGGGUAUCAAACAGGAUUAGAUACCCUAGUAGUC
rnacentral:rRNA from 1 species